UGAAUGUGAAAUCCCCGGGCUCAACCUGGGAACUGCAUCCAAAACUGGCGAGCUAGAGUAUGGUAGAGGGUGGUGGAAUUUCCUGUGUAGCGGUGAAAUGCGUAGAUAUAGGAAGGAACACCAGUGGCGAAGGCGACCACCUGGACUGAUACUGACACUGAGGUGCGAAAGCGUGGGGAGCAAACAGGAGAGGAGGGAGA
rnacentral:rRNA from 1 species